rnacentral:ncRNA from 1 species
AAGAAAGUAAAUAAGGGCACACGGGGGAUGCCUAGGCUCUCAGAGGCGAAGAAGGACGUGAUAAGCUGCGAUAAGCUGCGGGGAUUGGCAAAUGCGACGUGAUCCGUAGAUUUCCGAAUGGGGCAACCUGGCUAUUUGAAGAAUAGCCGUAUAAAACGCGAACGCGCUGAACUGAAACAUCUAAGUAGGCGUAGGAGAAGAAAAUAACAAUGAUUUCCCAAGUAGUGGCGAGCGAACGGGAAAGAGCCCAAACCGUUUAUGUUACGGCAUAGACGGGGUUGUAGGACCACGAGAUUGUACAAUGCUAUGAACUGGAAGCAGGUGGGAAACUGCGCAAUAAGGGUGAGAGCCCCGUACAGGUAAAGAAUGUUGACAUAGUGGUAUCCUGAGUACCGCGGGACCGGAGAAAUCCUGUGGGAAUCCACCAGCACCAUCUGGUAAGGCUAAAUACUCCUGAGAGACCGAUAGUGAACCAGUACCGUGAGGGAAAGGUGAAAAGAACCCCGAACAGGGGAGUGAAAAGAACCUGAAACCGUGUGCUUACAAGCGGUUGGAGCAGACGAGUUCUGUGACAGCGUGCCUUUUGCAUAAUGAGCCUACGAGUUACUCUUGUCUGGCAAGGUUAAGUCCUUCAGGGACGCAGCCGAAGCGAAAGCGAGUCUUAAUAGGGCGCAUAGUCAGAUGAGGUAGACGCGAAACCUUGUGAUCUACCCUUGGGCAGGUUGAAGUUGCAGUAACAUGUAAUGGAGGACCGAACCGAUAAACGUUGAAAAGUUUCCGGAUGACCUGAGGGUAGGGGUGAAAGGCCAAUCAAACUGGGAAAUAGCUCGUACUCCCCGAAAUGUUUUUAGGAACAGCGUCGGCGUAGAGUUUGAUAGAGGUAGAGCUACCGAUUGGGUGCGGGGGAGUCAAAUCCUACCAAAUCCAGACGAACUCCGAAUGCUAUCAAAUAUAGCCGGCAGUGAGGCUUUGGGUGCUAAGGUCCAAGGCCGAGAGGGAAAGAACCCAGACCAUCAGCUAAGGUCCCCAAAUUCGUUCUAAGUUGAACUAACGAGGUCCGGUUGCCCAGACAGCUAGGAUGUUGGCUUGGAAGCAGCCAUUCAUUUAAAGAGUGCGUAACAGCUCA